rnacentral:rRNA from 1 species
UACGUAGGGCGCAAGCGUUAUCCCGAAUUAUUGGGCGUAAAGAGCUCGUAGGCGGUUUGUCGCGUCUGCCGUGAAAGUCCGGGGCUCAACUCCGGAUCUGCGGUGGGUACGGGCAGACUAGAGUGAUGUAGGGGAGACUGGAAUUCCUGGUGUAGCGGUGGAAUGCGCAGAUAUCAGGAGGAACACCGGUGGCGAAGGCGGGUCUCUGGGCAGUAACUGACGCUGAGAAGCGAAAGCGUGGGGAGCGAACAGG